ACCAGUCAAUUCAAUAACCAUGGCAAAAAGUGCUCACAAUGAUGUGAAAUUGCACCCCACCCAAGUAGCAGGUGUGCUGUGGGUGAAGUUCAAACAAGAAAUGUACCGUUUGGCUACUUUCUCCACCUACCCGACUUCCAGCAUGAAAUCAGCUCUUCUAUUGGCCAGAGACGGAUUUGUUUACAUUGGCACCGGAAAGGACGACGACCUCGUGAUUUGUGGCUUCUGCUGUGCCACGAAAAAAGAAUGGAGCUUUAGUGAUGACGUGACGGAAGUUCACCGCCAGAUGUCGCCCAACUGUUCUUUAGUUAACGGUAGCCCAUGUGAGAACAUACCCCUUGAGUGUACUGCCACCAACACACGAAUCCUGCAGUCCAUGAUCGAAUCCAACGAAGGUAUAGAGCUCGAUGCUGCUAUGUUUCCAAGUCAUCCUACAACGCUGCAGAUUGAAAAUCAAAUAUCAAAUUCUUUGAGGGAGUAUCCUGAAAUAGCAGAAGUAAGAAGAAACGAAGAAGACACAGCUUUAAUAAAUGAAGAUAGGAAUUCCCCCAGAACAAAUCAUUCUACACAGCUGAUACCUUCUCGUACGGUAACCAGAGAAAACACAACAACAGAAGAGAUAUCUACAGAGCAGCCAGCAGAUCUAUAUAUAGAAAACAGAACCAGCACAGCGGCGUCACCAGCUCAAAGUACCACUUCCUCAGCACCACUCGCUACCAUCUCCACAACCCCUCCCCGCACAACACAGAAUGAGGCCAACACCACUCCAACCGGAAACACCACCCAACCACAAUCAGCCAAUCAAAAUAGUCGCAGAAACGGCCGAAACCCGACGUACGCUGAGCUUGGUAUAAUCACAGAACGACCAAAACGGUUGGACUACGCUCUGAAGGUCAAACGACUGGAGAGUUUAUCUGCCUGGCCCAGCCGUCAUCAUCUGGUCAAGGAAGAUCUGGCCGAGGCUGGCUUUUAUUACGGGGGUUACGGUGACUGUGCCAGGUGUUUCUACUGUGGUGGUGGACUCAGGAACUGGGAAGAUGAAGAUGACGUGUGGGUAGAACAUGCCAGAUGGUUCCCUAAGUGUGCGUACAUUCGACAGACCAUGGGCCAGGUGUUUGUGGACACAGUUCAGGAACUGAACAGAGAGUUCGACCAGAUUUCUUUCGCGAUGGUAACGAAUAAAAUAGGAUCAGCCCACUUAUCUUUUCACACAGACCCCAGCACAAACCCCUUAUCACGUGACGCAGCUGUUAGAACUGUUGUUGAACUGGGAUACGUACUUGAUGAUGUGGUAGGAGCGGCACAGAGGAUAAAAGAAGAUGGAGCUCAAAUAUCAUCAGACACCAUAAUUGAGAGAUUAGCUAAAGAUGGGAAGCGUUCUAGCCGACAGUCAACAGAAAGAUCGGCAACAGCAGGUACAUCAACUGAAUCAGCUGCUUACAAAGAAAGUCUGUCGAGGAUAAAAGAAAGAAACAACCAGCUCCGUCAACAAACUGUUUGUAAAAUUUGUAUGGACAGAGAAGUGGCCGUGGUCUUUCUGCCCUGUGGUCAUCUGGUCUCCUGCAGUGAUUGUGCUGCUGCCAUGAAAGAUUGCCCAGUCUGUAGGAAGGUGGUCAAGGGGACAGUUCGAGCUUUCAUUGGUUAAAAGACCGAAAAUGUAUUCUAAUUAAUUAAUUAGUUAAUUAAUUAAAAACAACAAAAAAGGAUAUCGAUUGGAGAAAGACUAAAAUCCAGAGGAAAGUUAACAGCAAUACUAAUCCUAAUAAGAUGAAGGUUUUUAAGCUCAAAUCUUAAACAUUUCAAAGAAAAGUCAAACACUCUGUUGAAAAUUGGGCUGUGAUCGUUUGGUUUAUAAAAUAGUGCAGAAACAAUGGAAAUGAAAGGCAUCCGCAUUACAUGUGCAAUGAAUCAAAAGCUGAAUGAACGACCUUAUAAGGAAACAUGACGUAAAAAUGCUUGUGUUGGCGUUCUACGUACAGUGAUUCACCCAUUCGUGCAGAUCGACUUUUUUUUUUACUUGACCCAGGAAGAGACUAAACUAAAUAUAGCAUCCAAUAAUUUAUAUAGCAGUUGUAAACCAUUGACAUAAAUCUUUGACGUAGGGUAUUAAAUAUAAAUAGUGUGGGUGUCGAAUAUAAAUGACGUCACCUUUUCCAAAGAAUUUUACCACGCCCCACUGUCAUACAUCUUGACAAAAAGUCAGUUCUUCCCAUUCGAUUAUGUAAUAACUUAGCCGACCCCUUCCUAAUGGGAAAUUUUUUUCAUUUUUUUAAACAUCGAUUUCUUUCUUAAAUAUGAAACGUGCCGGGCCGACGAUUGGUAGAUCUAUAGUGAACCAUUUUAAUACAACUUACAAAGUGUAAAAGAUACAUAAUAACAGCUUUCAGUUUUUGAAAAUCGUUACUUUUUAAAUAUGUUUCAGUAGGAGUUCACACUCGUCAUAUUUUAUCUUAAAAGCCCAAACCCCGAUGGAGAGUGAAUUAAUUUUUACUUCCAGAAAGCAAGAAUUUUUUUAAAUUAUAAAAAAAGAAAGUCAUAGCGCAAUGGUACAAAGGGACUAAGACUUGUGCUAUUUAUA